rnacentral:rRNA from 1 species
AAAAGCGGAGGAAAAGAAACCAACAGGGAUUGCCUCAGUAACGGCGAGUGAAGCGGCAAAAGCUCAAAUUUGAAACCCUCGGGAUUGUAAUUUGAAGAUUUGGCAUUGGAGAAAGCUAACCCAAGUUGCUUGGAAUAGUACGUCAUAGAGGGUGACAACCCCGUCUGGCUAACCGUUCUCCAUGUAUUGCCUUAUCAAAGAGUCGAGUUGUUUGGGAAUGCAGCUCAAAGUGGGUGGUAAACUCCAUCUAAAGCUAAAUACUGGUGAGAGACCGAUAGCGAACAAGUACUGUGAAGGAAAGGUGAAAAGAACUUUGAAAAGAGAGUGAAAUAGUAUGUGAAAUUGUUGAUAGGGAAGGAAAUGAGUGGAGAGUGGCCGAGGUUUCAGCCGCCCCUCGUGGGCGGUGUACUGCCGACGCCGAGUCAUCGAUAGCGAGACGAGGGUUACAAAUGGGAGCGCCUUCGGGCGUUCUCCCCUAACCCUCCACACUGCCACCGACGACAUAAUCCACCCAUUUCACCCGUCUU